rnacentral:rRNA from 1 species
GACGAACGCUGGCGGCGCACCUAAGACAUGCAAGUCGAACGGUUUCUUCUUUCGGGGAGAGAUAGUGGCGGACGGGUGAGUAACACGUGGAGGACCUGCCCCGCGGUGGGGAAUAACGCCGGGAAACCGGCGCUAAGACCGCAUACGAGCGGCGCCAUAGGGGGCGCCGCGGAAAUGCGUCCUGCGAGGGACGCAGCCGUGGGAGGGCUCCGUGGCGGAUUAGCCGGUUGGCGGGGUAACGGCCCACCAAAGCAACGAUCCGUAGCUGGUCUGAGAGGAUGGCCAG